GCCGCCCCCGCCCGGGCACAAGCGGUGGAGCAUGUGGUUUAAUUCGAUGCAACGCGAAGAACCUUACCUACUCUUGACAUCCAGAGAACUUAGCAGAGAUGCUUUGGUGCCUUCGGGAACUCUGAGACAGGUGCUGCAUGGCUGUCGUCAGCUCGUGUUGUGAAAUGUUGGGUUAAGUCCCGCAACGAGCGCAACCCUUAUCCUUUGUUGCCAGCGAUUCGGUCGGGAACUCAAAGGAGACUGCCAGUGAUAAACUGGAGGAAGGUGGGGAUGACGUCAAGUCAUCAUGGCCCUUACGAGUAGGGCUACACAC
rnacentral:rRNA from 1 species